rnacentral:rRNA from 1 species
CCCUGAUGUUAGCGGCGGACGGGUGAGUAACACGUGGGUAACCUGCCUGUAAGACUGGGAUAACUCCGGGAAACCGGGGCUAAUACCGGAUGGUUGUUUGAACCGCAUGGUUCAAACAUAAAAGGUGGCUUCGGCUACCACUUACAGAUGGACCCGCGGCGCAUUAGCUAGUUGGUGAGGUAACGGCUCACCAAGGCRACGAUGCGUAGCCGACCUGAGAGGGUGAUCGGCCACACUGGGACUGAGACACGGCCCAGACUCCUACGGGAGGCAGCAGUAGGGAAUCUUCCGCAAUGGACGAAAGUCUGACGGAGCAACGCCGCGUGAGUGAUGAAGGUUUUCGGAUCGUAAAGCUCUGUUGUUAGGGAAGAACAAGUACCGUUCGAAUAGGGCGGUACCUUGACGGUACCUAACCAGAAAGCCACGGCUAACUACGUGCCAGCAGCCGCGGUAAUACGUAGGUGGCAAGCGUUGUCCGGAAUUAUUGGGCGUAAAGGGCUCGCAGGCGGUUUCUUAAGUCUGAUGUGAAAGCCCCCGGCUCAACCGGGGAGGGUCAUUGGAAACUGGGGAACUUGAGUGCAGAAGAGGAGAGUGGAAUUCCACGUGUAGCG